AGUGAACGCUGGCGGCAGGCCUAAUACAUGCAAGUCGAACGGCAGCACAGUGGAGCUUGCUCCAUGGGUGGCGAGUGGCGGACGGGUGAGGAAUACAUGGGAAUCUGCCCAGUCGUGGGGGAUAACGUAGGGAAACUUACGCUAAUACCGCAUGCGCCCUUCGGGGGAAAGCCGGGGACCUUCGGGCCUGGCGCGAUGGGAUGAGCCCAUGUUCGAUUGGCUAGUUGGCGGGGUAAAGGCCCACCAAGGCGACGAUCGAUAGCUGGUCUGAGAGGAUGAUCGGCCACACUGGGACUGGAACACGGCCCAGACUCCUACGGGAGGUAGCAGUAGGGAAUAGUAGACAAUGGGCGCAAGCCUGAUCCAGCCAUGCCGCGUGAGUGAAGAAGGCCCUCAGGUUGUAAAGCUCUUUUGUCCGGGAAGAAAAGCAUCGGGCUAAUACCUCGGUGUUCUGACGGUACCGGAAGAAUAAGCACCGGCUAACUUCGUG
rnacentral:rRNA from 1 species